rnacentral:tRNA from 1 species
GCCUGGGUGGCUCAGCAGUUGAGCGUCUGCCUUCGGUUCAGAUCAUGAUCCCGGUGGUCCGGGAUCGAGUCCCGCAUCAGGCU